CUUGUUCUUUAAAUGGGGACUCGUAUCAACGGCAUCACGAGGGUUUUACUGUCUCCUCUUUUUGAUCAGUGAAAUUGAUCUUCCCGUGAAGAAGCGGGAAUAUUUUUAUAAGACGAGAAGACCCCAUGGAGCUUUAAACCAAAUAACAACUUAACCACUUAUCCCAUAAUAAAUUUAACCCCUGUUAUAAGGUUUUUGGUUGGGGUGACCGCGGAGUAAAGCACAUCCUCCACGACGGAAAGAAUAAAAUCUUUAUUUAAGAACCACACUUCUAGAAAUUAGUAUACUAACGUUUACUGACCCGACAAUCGAUCAACGGACCAAGUUACCCUGGGGAUAACAGCGCAAUCUACUUCGAGAGCUCAUAUCGACAAGUAGGCUUACGACCUCGAUGUUGGAUCAGGGUAUCCCGGUGGUGCAGCCGCUACCGAAGGUUCGUUUGUUCAACGAUUAAAACC
rnacentral:rRNA from 1 species